rnacentral:rRNA from 1 species
GUAUAAUGGGUCAGCGACUUAUAUUCUGUAGCAAGGUUAACCGAAUAGGGGAGCCGAAGGGAAACCGAGUCUUAACUGGGCGUUAAGUUGCAGGGUAUAGACCCGAAACCCGGUGAUCUAGCCAUGGGCAGGUUGAAGGUUGGGUAACACUAACUGGAGGACCGAACCGACUAAUGUUGAAAAAUUAGCGGAUGACUUGUGGCUGGGGGUGAAAGGCCAAUCAAACCGGGAGAUAGCUGGUUCUCCCCGAAAGCUAUUUAGGUAGCGCCUCGUGAAUUCAUCUCCGGGGGUAGAGCACUGUUUCGGCAAGGGGGUCAUCCCGACUUACCAACCCGAUGCAAACUGCGAAUACCGGAGAAUGUUAUCACGGGAGACACACGGCGGGUGCUAACGUCCGUCGUGAAGAGGGAAACAACCCAGACCGCCAGCUAAGGUCCCAAAGUCAUGGUUAAGUGGGAAACGAUGUGGGAAGGCACAGACAGCCAGGAUGUUGGCUUAGAAGCAGCCAUCAUUUAAAGAAAGCGUAAUAGCUCACUGGUCGAGUCGGCCUGCGCGGAAGAUGUAACGGGGCUAAACCAUGCACCGAAGCUGCGGCAGCGACACUAUGUGUUGUUGGGUAGGGGAGCGUUCUGUAAGCCUGUGAAGGUGUGCUGUGAGGCAUGCUGGAGGUAUCAGAAGUGCGAAUGCUGACAUAAGUAACGAUAAAGCGGGUGAAAAGCCCGCUCGCCGGAAGACCAAGGGUUCCUGUCCAACGUUAAUCGGGGCAGGGUGAGUCGACCCCUAAGGCGAGGCCGAAAGGCGUAGUCGAUGGGAAACAGGUUAAUAUUCCUGUACUUGGUGUUACUGCGAAGGGGGGACGGAGAAGGCUAUGUUGGCCGGGCGACGGUUGUCCCGGUUUAAGCGUGUAGGCUGGUUUUCCAGGCAAAUCCGGAAAACUAAGGCUGAGGCGUGAUGACGAGGCACUACGGUGCUGAAGCAACAAAUGCCCUGCUUCCAGGAAAAGCCUCUAAGCAUCAGGUAACAUCAAAUCGUACCCCAAACCGACACAGGUGGUCAGGUAGAGAAUACCAAGGCGCUUGAGAGAACUCGGGUGAAGGAACUAGGCAAAAUGGUGCCGUAACUUCGGGAGAAGGCACGCUGAUAUGUAGGUGAAGCGACUUGCUCGUGGAGCUGAAAUCAGUCGAAGAUACCAGCUGGCUGCAACUGUUUAUUAAAAACACAGCACUGUGCAAACACGAAAGUGGACGUAUACGGUGUGACGCCUGCCCGGUGCCGGAAGGUUAAUUGAUGGGGUUAGCGCAAGCGAAGCUCUUGAUCGAAGCCCCGGUAAACGGCGGCCGUAACUAUAACGGUCCUAAGGUAGCGAAAUUCCUUGUCGGGUAAGUUCCGACCUGCACGAAUGGCGUAAUGA